rnacentral:rRNA from 1 species
GACGAACGCUGGCGGCGUGCUUAACACAUGCAAGUCGAACGGUGAAGCGCCUUCCUUUUUGGUGGGUGUGGAUGAGUGGCGAACGGGUGAGUAACACGUGAGUAACCUGCCCCCUUCUUCUGGAUAACCGCAUGAAAGUGUGGCUAAUACGGGAUAUUCUGGGUCUGUCGCAUGAUGGGUCUGGGAAAGAUAUUGUUUCGGUGGGGGAUGGGCUCGCGGCCUAUCAGCUUGUUGGUGGGGUGAUGGCCUACCAAGGCGGUGACGGGUAGCCGGCCUGAGAGAGUGGACGGUCACACUGGGACUGAGACACGGCCCAGACUCCUACGGGAGGCAGCAGUGGGGAAUAUUGCACAAUGGGCGCAAGCCUGAUGCAGCGACGCCGCGUGAGGGAUGGAGGCCUUCGGGUUGUGAACCUCUUUCGCCAGUGAAGCAGGCCUGCCUCGUUUGUGGGUGGGUUGACGGUAGCUGGAGAAGAAGCGCCGGCUAACUACGUG